rnacentral:rRNA from 1 species
UAGUAGUUGGUAGGGUAAGGGCUACCAAGGCGACGUCGGUAGCUGGUCUGAGAGGAUGACCAGCCACACUGGAAUGAGACACGGUCCAGAUCCUNACGGGAGGCAGCAGUGGGGAAUAUUGGACAAUGGGGGCAACCCUGAUCCAGCAAUGCCGCGUGUGUGAAGAAGGCCUGAGGGUUGUAAAGCACUUUCAGUGGGGAGGAGGAUUCAUGGGUUAAGAGCUAAUGAAUUGGACGUUACCCACAGAAGAAGCCACCGGCUAACUCCGUGCCAGCAGCCGCGGUAAUACGGAGGGUGCAAGCGUUAAUCGGAAUGACUGGGCGUAAAGGGUGCGUAGGUGGUUAAAUAAGUUAUAGGUGAAAUCAUAGGGCUCAACCUUGUGCUGAAUUAUAAUACUGUUCAGCUAGAGUAUAGGAGAGGGUAGUGGAAUUUCCGGUGUAACGGUGAAAUGCGUAGAGAUCGGAAGGAACACCAGUCGCGAAGGCGGCUACCUGGUCAUAUACUGACACUGAGGCACGAAAGCGUGGGUAGCAAACAGGAUUAGAUACCCUGGUAGUCCACGCUGUAAACGAUGUCAACUAGCUGUUUUCCACAUAGAGGUGGGGGGUGGCGC